UACGGAGGAUUCGAGCGUUAUCCGGAUUUAUUGGGUUUAAAGGGUGCGUAGGCGGCCUUUUAAGUCAGCGGUGAAAGUCUGUGGCUCAACCAUAGAAUUGCCGUUGAAACUGGGGGGCUUGAGUAUGUUUGAGGCAGGCGGAAUGCGUGGUGUAGCGGUGAAAUGCAUAGAUAUCACGCAGAACCCCGAUUGCGAAGGCAGCCUGCCAAGCCAUUACUGACGCUGAUGCACGAAAGCGUGGGGAUCAAACAGG
rnacentral:rRNA from 1 species